rnacentral:rRNA from 1 species
AUGAACGCUAGCUACAGGCUUAACACAUGCAAGUCGAGGGGCAGCAUGGUCUUAGCUUGCUAAGGCCGAUGGCGACCGGCGCACGGGUGAGUAACACGUAUCCAACCUGCCGUCUACUCUUGGACAGCCUUCUGAAAGGAAGAUUAAUACAAGAUGGCAUCAUGAGUCCGCAUGUUCACAUGAUUAAAGGUAUUCCGGUAGACGAUGGGGAUGCGUUCCAUUAGAUAGUAGGCGGGGUAACGGCCCACCUAGUCUUCGAUGGAUAGGGGUUCUGAGAGGAAGGUCCCCCACAUUGGAACUGAGACACGGUCCAAACUCCUACGGGAGGCAGCAGUGAGGAAUAUUGGUCAAUGGGCGAGAGCCUGAACCAGCCAAGUAGCGUGAAGGAUGACUGCCCUAUGGGUUGUAAACUUCUUUUAUAAAGGAAUAAAGUCGGGUAUGCAUACCCGUUUGCAUGUACUUUAUGAAUAAGGAUCGGCUAACUCCGUGCCAGCAGCCGCGGUAAUACGGAGGAUCCGAGCGUUAUCCGGAUUUAUUGGGUUUAAAGGGAGCGUAGAUGGAUGUGUAAGUCAGUUGUGAAAGUUUGCGGCUCAACCGUAAAAUUGCAGUUGAUACUGGAUAUCUUGAGUGCAGUUGAGGCAGGCGGAAUUCGUGGUGUAGCGGUCAAAUGCUUAGAUAUCACGAAGAACUCCGAUUGCGAAGGCAGCCUGCUAAGCUGCAACUGACAUUGAGGCUCGAAAGUGUGGGUAUCAAACAGGAUUAGAUACCCUGGUAGUCCACACGGUAAACGAUGAAUACUCGCUGUUUGCGAUAUACUGCAAGCGGCCAAGCGAAAGCGUUAAGUAUUCCACCUGGGGAGUACGCCGGCAACGGUGAAACUCAAAGGAAUUGACGGGGGCCCGCACAAGCGGAGGAACAUGUGGUUUAAUUCGAUGAUACGCGAGGAACCUUACCCGGGCUUAAAUUGCAGAUGAAUUACGGUGAAAGCCGUAAGCCGCAAGGCAUCUGUGAAGGUGCUGCAUGGUUGUCGUCAGCUCGUGCCGUGAGGUGUCGGCUUAAGUGCCAUAACGAGCGCAACCCUUGUUGUCAGUUACUAACAGGUUCCGCUGAGGACUCUGACAAGACUGCCAUCGUAAGAUGUGAGGAAGGUGGGGAUGACGUCAAAUCAGCACGGCCCUUACGUCCGGGGCUACACACGUGUUACAAUGGGGGGUACAGAGGGCCGCUACCACGCGAGUGGAUGCCAAUCCCCAAAACCUCUCUCAGUUCGGACUGGAGUCUGCAACCCGACUCCACGAAGCUGGAUUCGCUAGUAAUCGCGCAUCAGCCACGGCGCGGUGAAUACGUUCCCGGGCCUUGUACACACCGCCCGUCAAGCCAUGGGAGCCGGGGGUACCUGAAGUGCGUAACCGCGAGGAGCGCCCUAGGGUAAAACUGGUGACUGGGGCU